CUGGUCUGUGCGAAACUGCUGCCAAAUGCAACUCUCCACAAGUUCUCUGCUUUUACACUCAUAGCUGGAGGUGAGGGAGAGGACGGAGGAGGCACCUAUACGACAUAUGUUACAGGCUAAACCAAAUACACUUCACACAGAUAAUGAUAAACUUUUCACAAUGUUGAUCAAACAAAGUACAUGUCCUCCGCAGAUUCCUAAUUCACCCAGUGAUCUCGAUGAACAUCUUUGCCCACUUUGUGUCUCACAUAUCCCUAAACUUGUGCAGUGCGGAAAAAAUUUCAUCUAAACCACUUAAUCUGAAAACUAUUUUUUUUUUCG